UCGGAACAUCUCGUAGAGAUGAUACGGAAUAACGUGACAUAUUGUAUUCAGUUUUGAAUGUUUAUUUUUAAACAUUCAUGAUUAAUUGAAUAUUGCAUUGACUAUUAUAUUUUGUUAUAAUACUUAAUUGUGAUUAUUAAUUAAUGACAUUGUACAUUGAAAACUAGAUAAGUAAGUAAAUAGAUUUUACCAAGCAAAACCGAGUGAAUAGAGUUUUAAAUAAGCUUGAAUUCAUAAAAAAUAAUCGCUAGUGUUCGAAAGAACACUCACAGAUUAAUAACUAUAUUAGAUUAAGUUAUUAAGGGCGCACGGUGGAUGCCUUGGC
rnacentral:misc_RNA from 1 species